UACAUGGGGUGCAAACGUUGCUCGGAAUUAUUGGGCGUAAAGCGCGCGUAGGCGGUUACUUAAGUCGGAUGUGAAAGCCCUCGGCUUAACUGAGGAAAUGCACCCGAAACUGAGUAGCUAGAGUACGAAAGAGGGUCGCGGAAUUCCCGGUGUAGAGGUGAAAUUCGUAGAUAUCGGGAGGAACACCGGUGGCGAAGGCGGCGACCUGGGUCGAGACUGACGCUGAGACGCGAAAGCGUGGGGAGCAAACAGG
rnacentral:rRNA from 1 species